rnacentral:rRNA from 1 species
GAUGAACGCUGGCGGCGUGCUUAACACAUGCAAGUCGAACGAGAAGUGAAGACGGAAACCUUCGGGCGGAAGGCUUUAUUUCGAGUGGCGGACGGGUGAGUAACGCGUGGGUAACCUGCCUCAUACAGGGGGAUAACAGUUGGAAACGACUGUUAAUACCGCAUAAGACCACAGCACCGCAUGGUGCGGGGGUAAAAACUCCGGUGGUAUGAGAUGGACCCGCGUUCGAUUAGCCAGUUGGCGGGGUAACGGCCCACCAAAGCGACGAUCGAUAGCCGAUCUGAGAGGAUGACCGGCCACAUUGGGACUGAGACACGGCCCAAACUCCUACGGGAGGCAGCAGUGGGGAAUAUUGCACAAUGGGGGAAACCCUGAUGCAGCGACGCCGCGUGAGUGAAGAAGUAUCUCGGUAUGUAAAGCUCUAUCAGCAGGGAAGAAA